GGGCUCGUAGCUCAAUGGGAGAGCACCUGCUUUGCACGCAGAAGCGUGUCGGUUCAAGUCCGACCGAGUCCA
rnacentral:tRNA from 1 species